UUGUCACAAACACAUGAAACUUGUUACCCUUGGUAGGUAAGGAACUCUAAAAAUAUGAUACACGGAACAUUAGGCAUUAUUUAUUAUUUCGCACUUGGUAUGUUUUAUUAAACACGCGAUUCGUCAUUGAUACAUAUCUCUAUUUACAAGCAAUUAACUUGUAUGAGUUACAAAAAUCAACUUGUUUGAAGUCUGACUGGUAGUCAAUCCACAGGGAUUUGUGAUUACAUUUAUAUUCAAUUCAUCUAUAUAUUUAUUCAUUACCGAUAUCUACAUAACGUCCUUGUUAAAUAUAUGGAGCGGUGGUUGUGUAACUACUAAAACCGCCUGUAAAUCGAAAGGUCGCAGGUUCGAAUCCUACUCGUGCCAUUUAAAAAUACGGCUAAAUGACGCUCAGCCAAAACGUUGGACGUUAAAUGAACGUAGCGUUUAAUGAACGGGGCCGUCUUCCAAUAAAAUGGUUUGAUUUAAUAAGAUGGCUGAGAGAAAUCGCGGUUGUGGUUCCAUCCAUAGAUUUAGAAGGGUCCCGCGCUCUGGUACAGUCAAUAGCAUAUCGAGUUACGCUGCAUGAACUUCUAUGCCGCGGUAAACGGCAAAUUUGCAAUGAAUUUGGGUAGGUUCACAUCCUGUUGACUGUACCAUCGUUUAAGUAUCAACCGAACCAUAAUCUGUGGUAACUUGACAGAAACCGAACUUGUCAUAACCUUGGACAUGACAACUGUCAUAGUUAUCACAAGAAAUUUUCUGUUUACAUAUUUAUACUUACAUAUUUUUUGUGUUUUGUAUUAAUUAAUAAUUUUUGAUAGAUACAUUUAAGUAUAUUAUUAUUAGCCUGGUAACCAUGCAUACCAAAUAUUUAAGGGUGCUGUAUAAAACUUUCAGGUUAUAAUGGUUUUUGACAAACUACCUAAGGUGAACAAAUGUUGUUGUGCCGUGCCUUUAAAGUGGGGUGUCAUAUUAAUUGCAUUAUUUUAUAUCGUUUGCAGUGUGGUUGAUCACAAGGUUACAAUGAAAAAAAGUGCGUGCUACGCAGGCGUUUGCAAGGAUGAUUGCCAGUACAAAUUUCUUAUGGAUUAUUUCGCAUACAUUUAUACUCUAGACAUAUUGAUAAAUUAUGUACUGAGCACAUUAUUGAUUAUCGGUGCCGUAAUUGAGAGUCGGGAGAUAGUGAAAAUUUAUCUGUACUUUAUAGUGAUAACGGCUGUGUUGAUUACAAUGAUAAACAUCGUGAUUCUGACAGUGGGCCUGACACAGUCUUAUUGUGCGAACACACUCAAAAUGCGUAUUUAUUGUAUUAUUACAGAGACUCUUUUCUUCUGUUUGUUUAUGUACUUUAUAAUUGUCGUGAAUAGUUUUAGAAUGACUUUACCAUCUGAAUUAGAGUCGGAAAGAUCACAAAUCAGUAAUGUGAACAGGCAUAACGUAAGAUCAAUUAUCUUAAAAGACAGCGAUGCAACAAGUAAAUCUAGUGCUCCUGUUGGGAAACCGAAAUCGAGUGGAAAG